rnacentral:lncRNA from 1 species
GGGGUGUGCGCAAAAACUUGAAUUUCAAGUUUUUGGUUCCAAGGGUUUGGGAAGAGAGAAUAAAUUAAAGAAAAAAUAUUUUUUUCUCUAUAUUUCUUCUACCUUUUAAUCUUCUCCAGAAGUUCAUCUUCAAUCUUUAAAAAGAUUCUAGAGAUUUGAAGAAGGAUUCAGAUUAGCCAAGAAGAAGGUCUUCAUGUGAGCUAGCACUCCCGACAAG